rnacentral:lncRNA from 1 species
CCACACACGCAUAAAUAGCCACUCGUCCUCAAUGUGUCCAUGAUCACGGUUGACAACCUUCUGUUAUAAUAAUCGGAAUGCCGAGUAGUGAGCGCAAGACAUAACCGUAAGAUAGUUUGCCAGUCUACUCCGUCAUAUGCCCAUCAACCACUCGAAGGUAGCGACUAAAAGCAUACCCCAGUGACUCGAUCCAAACCGCUAUCUCCGAUUAUCUCAAGCGAUCAAAACCCGUUACUCAUGCUUAGCUAGUCCCCAGGAAUGCGACUAGCCUCACAUUUUCAUCGUAAGCAAUUAAUAGUCAUAACAGUACCAUAUCAUGAAUAAUAAGUGGCAAGGUACAUGAUACAACAUAGGGUCCAAGGUCCCAACAUACAUAGAAGGAGUAGCAGCGGAAGACUCAAAUAAAGCUCAUAAGCAUAAAACGAAAGCCGGCGGUGCCACAACCCCACAAGGGCAAACCAACCGGGCAAGAGCCAAGCUGCAAGAGAAGGGAUCACUCACUGCCCUCGCCACCCCCGGCAGAGCAGUGACCACACAAGAAGCACAACUCAUACCCGGAAUCCUCACCUGAAA